rnacentral:rRNA from 1 species
UUGAACGCUGGCGGCAUGCCUUACACAUGCAAGUCGAACGGCAGCGCGGGGCAACCUGGCGGCGAGUGGCGAACGGGUGAGUAAUAUAUCGGAACGUACCCUGGAGUGGGGGAUAACGUAGCGAAAGUUACGCUAAUACCGCAUACGAUCUAAGGAUGAAAGUGGGGGAUUCGCAAGAACCUCAUGCUCCUGGAGCGGCCGAUAUCUGAUUAGCUAGUUGGUGGGGUAAAGGCCUACCAAGGCAUCGAUCAGUAGCUGGUCUGAGAGGACGACCAGCCACACUGGAACUGAGACACGGUCCAGACUCCUACGGGAGGCAGCAGUGGGGAAUUUUGGACAAUGGGCGAAAGCCUGAUCCAGCAAUGCCGCGUGAGUGAAGAAGGCCUUCGGGUUGUAAAGCUCUUUUGUUCAGGGAAGAAACGGUGAGAGCUAAUAUCUUUUGCUAAUGACGGUACCUGAAGAAUAAGCA